GUUGAACGCUGGCGGAAUGCUUUACACAUGCAAGUCGAACGGUAGAGGGGGCAACCCCUCGAGAGUGGCGAACGGGUGAGUAAUAUAUCGGAACGUGCCCAGUCGUGGGGGAUAACGUAGCGAAAGUUACGCUAAUACCGCAUACGAUCUAAGGAUGAAAGCGGGGGAUCGCAAGACCUCGCGCGAUUGGAGCGGCCGAUAUCAGAUUAGGUAGUUGGUGGGGUAAAGGCUCACCAAGCCAACGAUCUGUAGCUGGUCUGAGAGGACGACCAGCCACACUGGAACUGAGACACGGUCCAGACUCCUACGGGAGGCAGCAGUGGGGAAUGUUGGACAAUGGACGCAAGUCUGAUCCAGCCAUUCCGCGUGCAGGAUGAAGGCCCUCGGGUUGUAAACUGCUUUUGUACGGAACGAAAAGGUCUCUCUUAAUACGGGGGACUCAUGACGGUACCGUAAGAAUAAGCACCGGCUAACUACGUGCCAGCCGCCGCAGUAAAAC
rnacentral:rRNA from 1 species